rnacentral:rRNA from 1 species
AGUUUGAUCAUGGCUCAGAUUGAACGCUAGCGGAAUGCUUUACACAUGCAAGUCGGACGGCAGCGUGUCCUUCGGGAUGACGGCGAGUGGCGAACGGGUGAGUAAUGUAUCGGAACGUGUCUGGUAGUGGGGGAUAACUACGCGAAAGCGUGGCUAAUACUGCAUACGACCUUUGGGUGAAAGCAGGGGACCUUUCGGGGCCUUGCGCUAUUGGGGUGGCCGAUAUCGGAUUAGCUAGUUGGUGGGGUAAUGGCCUACCAAGGCAUCGAUCCGUAGCUGGUUUGAGAGGACGACCAGCCACACUGGGACUGAGACACGGCCCAGACUCCUACGGGAGGCAGCAGUGGGGAAUUUUGGACAAUGGGGGCAACCCUGAUCCAGCCAUUUCGCGUGUGCGAUGAAGGCCUUCGGGUUGUAAAGCACUUUUGGCGGGGAAGAAAUACGCUGGGUUAAUACCCUGGUGGGAUGACGGUACCCGCAGAAUAAGCACCGGCUAACUACGUGCCAGCAGCCGCGGUAAUACGUAGGGUGCGAGCGUUAAUCGGAAUUACUGGGCGUAAAGGGUGCGCAGGCGGUUCGGCAAGAGAGAUGUGAAAUCCCGGGGCUUAACCUCGGAACUGCAUUUUUAACUGCCGGGCUAGAGUGUGUCAGAGGGGGGUGGAAUUCCGCGUGUAGCAGU